UUGAUCCUGCCGGAGGCCAUUGCUAUCGGGGUCCGACUCAGCCAUGCUAGUUGCACGGGUUUAGACCCGUAGCGAACAGCUCAGUAACACGUGGCCAAACUACCCUAUGGACGUGGACACCCUCGGGAAACUGAGGCUAAUCCACGAUACGGCUCCCACGCUGGAAUGCGGGGAGCCGGAAACGUUCCGGCGCCAUAGGAUGUGGCUGCGGCCGAUUAGGUAGACGGUGGGGUAACGGCCCACCGUGCCGAUAAUCGGUACGGGAUGUGAGAGCAAAUAGCCCGGAGAUGGAAUCUGAGACAAGAUUCCAGGCCCUACGGGGCGCAGCAGGCGCGAAACCUUUACACUGCACGCCAGUGCGAUAAGGGGACCCCGAGUGCGAGGGCAUACAGUCCUCGCUUUUGUACACCGUAAGGAGGUGUACGAAUAAGGGCUGGGCAAGACCGGUGCCAGCCGCCGCGGUAAUACCGGCAGCCCGAGUGAUGGCCGCUGUUAUUGGGCCUAAAGCGUCCGUAGCCGGCCGAACAAGUCUGUCGGGAAAUCCAUCCGCCUAACGGAUGGGCGUCCGGCAGAAACUGUUCGGCUUGGGGCCGGAAGAUCCGAGGGGUACGUCCGGGGUAGGAGUGAAAUCCUGUAAUCCUGGACGGACCGCCGGUGGCGAAAGCGCCUCGGAAGGACGGACCCGACGGUGAGGGACGAAAGCUGGGGUCUCGAACCGGAUUAGAUACC
rnacentral:rRNA from 1 species